rnacentral:rRNA from 1 species
GAUGAACGCUGGCGGCGUGCCUAAUACAUGCAAGUCGAGCGAAUGGAUUGAGAGCUUGCUCUUAUGAAGUUAGCGGCGGACGGGUGAGUAUCACGUGGGUAACCUGCCCAUAAGACUGGGAUAACUCCGGGAAACCGGGGCUAAUACCGGAUAACAUUUUGAACCGCAUGGUUCGAAAUUGAAAGGCGGCUUCGGCUGUCACUUAUGGAUGGACCCGCGUCGCAUUAGCUAGUUGGUGAGGUAACGGCUCACCAAGGCAACGAUGCGUAGCCGACCUGAGAGGGUGAUCGGCCACACUGGGACUGAGACACGGCCCAGACUCCUACGGGAGGCAGCAGUAGGGAAUCUUCCGCAAUGGACGAAAGUCUGACGGAGCAACGCCGCGUGAGUGAUGAAGGCUUUCGGGUCGUAAAACUCUGUUGUUAGGGAAGAACAAGUGCUAGUUGAAUAAGCUGGCACCUUGACGGUACCUAACCAGAAAGCCACGGCUAACUACGUGGCAGCCGCCGCAGUAA